AGUGAACGCUGGCGGUAGGCCUAACACAUGCAAGUCGAACGGCAGCACAGUAAGAGCUUGCUCUUACGGGUGGCGAGUGGCGGACGGGUGAGGAAUACAUCGGAAUCUACUUUUUCGUGGGGGAUAACGUAGGGAAACUUACGCUAAUACCGCAUACGACCUACGGGUGAAAGCAGGGGAUCUUCGGACCUUGCGCGAUUGAAUGAGCCGAUGUCGGAUUAGCUAGUUGGCGGGGUAAAGGCCCACCAAGGCGACGAUCCGUAGCUGGUCUGAGAGGAUGAUCAGCCACACUGGAACAGAGACUCGGUCCACACUCCUACGGGAGGCAGCAGUGGGGAAUAUUGGACAAUGGACGCAAGCCUUAUCCAGCCAUACCGCGUAGGUGAUGAAGGCCUUCGGGUUGUAAAGCCCUUUUGUUGGGAAAGAAGAGCAGCAGGUUAAUACCCCGCUGUUCUGACGGUACCCAAAGAAUAAGCACCGGCUAACUUCGUG
rnacentral:rRNA from 1 species